UACGGAGGAUGCGAGCGUUAUCCGGUAUUUAGUUGGGUUUAAAGGGUGCGCGAGGCGGGUAGUUUUAAGUCAGCGGUGAAAUUUUACCGAGGCUCAACCUGAACACUGCCGUUGAAACUGGGAUUCUUGAGUAUGGAUGAAGUAGGACGGAAUUCGUUUGUGUAGCGGUGACAUGCUUAGAUAUAACGAGGAACUCCGAUUGCGUAGGCAGCUUACUAAGCCAUAACUGACGCUCAAGCACGAAAGCGUGGGGAUCAAAGCAGGUAUUAGACUACCCCCGUAGU
rnacentral:rRNA from 1 species